rfam:Yarrowia lipolytica strain CLIB122 chromosome A complete sequence.
GGGCGGUUGGUGUAGUGGUAACAUAUCUGCCUUCCAAACAGUUGCUAGCAGGUGCCAGGGGUUCAAUUCCCCUACCGCUCA